GGUGCUGGGAGCACUGGGGGCAGGGAGGACGGGACGUUUCGGAAGCCAGAGCCAUCGUUUGCGGAGCUGGAGAAGAGACUCAGUGAUUUCUCUCUGAAAAGUGCCAUGCUGCAGGAAGUGCUGCUAGGAUUCAAAGAGACGCUGCGACGGGAGCUGGGGAACGACACAGCCAUCCCAAUGAUUUUUAAUUUCUGGGAAACAUCCUCAACAGAAUUAUUUGAAGGUGUCGUACCGGAGAGUAACGGCACAGAGGCAGUGGCUUGUGGGGAAGAGGGUAAGUUUCAUUACUAAUUCUGCUCUUAAAAAGAGGGGUCUCUUUAGAAAAAGAGUUUAACUUA
rnacentral:lncRNA from 1 species